CCCUGGUGGUACAGUGGUUAAGAACUUGGCUGCUAACCAAAAGGUUGGUGGUUCGAACCCACCAGCAGGGC
rnacentral:tRNA from 1 species